AAUAUUCUACGAGAUAUACUGUUGACCUAUUCAUUUUACAACUUUGAUCUUGGUUAUUGCCAGAGCAAAAGAAACAAAAAGUUUCUGAAAUAAAGACUGGAAUUGAUGAAGCUGAAGCUUUGAUUCGAAAAAUGGACCUCGAGGCAAGAAGUUUGCAGCCAAACGUCAAGGGUGUGCUUCUUGCUAAGUUGCGGGAGUAUAAAUCAGAUCUAA